AUUUUUAUUUUAUUAUUUAUUUAUAAAACUUACUGUAUAUGUAAGCUCCAAAAAGGAGAGAACCCUAGUAUCCUCUCUCUUCAAUCUUCAUAGUCAAUUGCGUGGAAGUCUCUCUCACCUACUUCUCCACGCUGCCUCUCUUUCUUCUGUUUCAUGCCUCUAAACACCACCAAUUUUUCGAUUUUAUUGACAGAUCUUCCUUCUAAUCUUUGAAUGAAAUUUUAUAAUUUUUGUAUUCUCCUCUCUCAUGUUGCCCCUCAUCCCUCUUUCUCUCACCUCUGUUCCUCUCACUCUCACGCCGCCGGCGUUCUCGGCCCGAUGCUGAUCUUUCCCAGCCUCCGCCGCCGUCGAUCUCGCCCAGCCACGAUCUUUGGCAAUAACAACCCUUCUUAGUUAUGGCUGUUCAUCGGCGCAGUUGACAUAUCCUUCUUGGAUAUGGCUAUUCAUCGGCGCAGUUGACGUGAAAGAUUUGUGUGGAAAAAGAAGAUUGAGAGAGUUGUUGCUCAAGCUAUGAUGCUUCACAUGUUAGUUGAAGCUGAGAUAAAAAGAGAUAUAGAAAGGCUGAAUUAAAAUCGAAGGAGAGGAUUUGAAAGUCAUACAUGUCUCGAAAAUAUCAAGAGAUGACAACUAGUUGAUCACUAGAAAUUGACUGGUUCAAGUGAAGCACAUACAUAAAGAAGCUAAUACAUAUAUCCAUAAUUUUGAAUUUUUUUAUGUUUGAGUUUGGAAUCAAAUAUUCUGUGUUCCAACAAAAUACUCCCUUUGAGGUUAUUUUUAAUUCAUGCUUAAGAAAAAAAAUGUUCCAUAACAUUUAAAGAGGAUCUUAACUAAUUUAGGUUAUUGAUUGGAGUUACAUAUAUAAUAUAUUUUGAUUAGCUAUGAGCUACUCAAAUGUUGCCUAGCUGUCGGAUGACAUGGUUGGAAAUUUUGAACAUAUCGAUCUGUUUAUAAUUUAAUCCUUUAUGAAGAAAAACAAUCAAAAAAUAAAAAAGGAUUAAAAGAAGUAAUUGUUUUCCCGCAACCCAUAAGAAGAUUGAAAAAAAAAAAAAAGGUAAUUGUAAAUUGGUACAAAU